CUCCUCGUAGUUUAAUGGAUAAAACGCGGGCCUCCGAAGCUCGUGAUCCAGGUUCGAUUCCUGGCGAGGGGA
rnacentral:tRNA from 1 species